AUAUCAAUAAGCGGAGGAAAAGAAACCAACUGGGAUUGCCCUAGUAACGGCGAGUGAAGCGGCAUAAGCUCAAAUUUGAAAUCUGGCCCUAGGCCCGAGUUGUAAUUUGUAGAAGGUGCUUCGGGAGCGACGGUGGUCCAAGUCCUUUGGAACUGGGCGUCAUAGAGGGUGAGAAUCCCGUAUGUGACCAUCCGUCAACCCCAUGUGAAGCCCUUUCGACGAGUCGAGUUGUUUGGGAAUGCAGCUCUAAAUGGGUGGUAAAUUUCAUCUAAAGCUAAAUACCUGCCAGAGACCGAUAGCGCACAAGUAGAGUGAUCGAAAGAUGAAAAGAACUUUGAAAAGAGAGUUAAAUAGUACGUGAAAUUGUUAAAAGGGAAGCGCUUGCAACCAGACUCGAUUGCAGGGGUUCAGCUUUUCUACGGAAACAGCCUACUCCCUUGUAUUUGGGCCAGCAUCGGUUUCGGCGGUCGGACAAAGGUUUCGGGAAAGUAGCUCCUCUCGGGGAGUGUUAUAGCCUGAGAUACAAUGCGACCUGCUGGGACCGAGGACCGCGCUUUUUGCUAGGAUGCUGGCGUAAUGGUUGUCAGCGACCCGUCUUGAAACACGGACCAGUAUGUUUUGGAUUCCCCCAUAUUUCGUUUUGUGCGCUUGCUAAUGUGUUUGCAGAGGAGUCGACCAAUCGCGCGAGUGUUUGGGCGUAAAACCCAGGCGCGCAGUGAAAGCAAACGUAGGUGGGAGCCUUCGGGCGCACCAUCGACCGAUCUUGAUGUCUUCGGAUGGAUUUGAGUAUGAGCACGGUCGGUCGGACCCGAAAGAUGGUGAACUAUGCGUGAAUAGAAUGAAGCCAGGGGAAACCCUGGUGGAAGUUCGCAGCGGUUCUGACGUGCAAAUCGAUCGUCAAAUUUGCGCAUAGGGGCGAAAGACUAAUCGAACCGUC
rnacentral:rRNA from 1 species